AUUGAACGCUGGCGGCAGGCCUAACACAUGCAAGUCGAACGAGUGGCGGACGGGUGAGUAAUGUCUGGGAACCUGCCUGAUGGAGGGGGAUCACUACUGGAAACGGUAGCUAAUACCGCAUACCAUCAGAUGUGCCCAGAUGGGAUUAGCUAUUUGGUUGGGUAACGGCUCACCAAGGCGACGAUCCCUAGCUGGGCUUCGAGGAUGACCAGCCACACUGUAACUGAGACACGUCCCAGACGCCUACGGGAGGCAGCAGUGGUGAAUAUUGCAGAAUGGGCGCAAGCCUGAUGCAGCCAUGCCGCGUGUAUGAAGAAGGCCUUCGGGUUGUAAAGUACUUUCAGCGGGGAGGCGUUACCCGCAGAAGAAGCACCGGCUAACUCCGUGCCAGCAGCCGCGGUAAUAC
rnacentral:rRNA from 1 species